AUACGGAGGGUGCAAGCGUUAUUCGGAAUCACUGGGCGUAAAGGACGCGUAGGCGGGUUGGCAAGUCAGAUGUGAAAUCCUACAGCUUAACUGUAGAACUGCAUUUGAAACUGCUAACCUAGAGUAUGGGAGGGGGAGAUGGAAUUAGUGGUGUAGGGGUAAAAUCCGUAGAUAUCACUAGGAAUACCGAAAGCGAAGGCGAUCUCCUGGAACAUAACUGACGCCAAGGCGUGAAAGCGUGGGGAGCAAACAGGAUUAGAAACCCUAGUAGUCC
rnacentral:rRNA from 1 species